AAUUAAGGAGAUAACUGUAUUGUAUUUUAAGCUCCGACGGCAUCAGUUGGGGAUUUGAUGGUCGCAAAUUAAGUUUACUGGCGACGCGUUAGCGGAGACAGUAAACGGGUAUUUGCGACCAUCAAAUCCCCAAUUGAUGCCGUCGGAGCUUAAAAUACAAUAUUGUUAUCUCCAUUCUAAUGAAACUGACAGAAAACAACGUUAAAACAUGUAUUUAAAAUCUGUCAUAUGCCGUCUGUGCUUGCGCGUACGUCCCAUAGCAUCAAUUGUCAAUUGAUGUCAUGUAAAUAAGUGACGUUAUCCAAUCAAAAUGAACGCUACAAACGUUGUUGCAUUAGAAUA
rnacentral:lncRNA from 1 species